GUGGGCUUUUAAUUUUUUUAAUUUCUUUUUGGGAACGGCGUGCAUUGUACUAUCCAGAUUUGAUCCAAUCCAAUACCGCUGAAGUCUCUGUAGAAAGUCGAGAUCGAACUUGGAAGGAAGAGCGAGCAAUAGCAAUGGCGUUUAUGAGGGGCGAGCCACUGGUCACGAAGCUGGCGGUUUUGGCCAAGUACGUGGUUCUUCCGGGAGCCAUGAUCGCUGCUCUCAUCUACUCUCCUCCAGAUUACGCGUCCUCCUCUAAGUCCGACAAGUCCCAGAAAUAAAUCAGGCCCCCUUUUCUAUUUCAGCUAUCGGGUCAUCUUCAUCACUUGGCAUGCAUGCUUGCAAAGGUCCACUCUCUUAGAUGAAUGGGGUAUGUAAUAAUUUCAUGAUAGAAUAAUUGUUGAGCUUUAGAAUGUAGUUAUUUGGAGUGAUGAACGCAUCUAGCUUAUGUUUGAAGAACUUUG